rnacentral:rRNA from 1 species
AACGAACGCUGGCGGCAGGCUUAACACAUGCAAGUCGAGCGCCCCGCAAGGGGAGCGGCAGACGGGUGAGUAACGCGUGGGAAUCUACCCAAUACUACGGAAUAGCUCCGGGAAACUGGAAUUAAUACCGUAUGUGCCCUACGGGGGAAAGAUUUAUCGGUAUUGGAUGAGCCCGCGUUGGAUUAGCUAGUUGGUGGGGUAAUGGCCUACCAAGGCGACGAUCCAUAGCUGGUCUGAGAGGAUGAUCAGCCACACUGGGACUGAGACACGGCCCAGACUCCUACGGGAGGCAGCAGUGGGGAAUAUUGGACAACGGGCGAAAGCCUGAUCCAGCCAUGCCGCGUGAGUGAUGAAGGCCUUAGGGUUGUAAAGCUCUUUUAGCAGGGAAGAUAAUGACGGUACCUGCAGAAAAAGCCCCGGCUAACUUCGUGCCAGCCGCCGCAGUAAAAC